AGGUUAGCCCAAAUUAAAAGUAAUCUAAUUAAAAUCUCGUGUGGAACAAAAGGGUAAAAGCUCGUUUGAUUCUGAUUUUCAGUACGAAUACGAACCGUGAAAGCGU
rnacentral:ncRNA from 1 species